GCCUCGCUAGCUCAAUCGGUAGAGCGUGAGACUCUUACAAACAAUUGUGAUAUCUCAAGGUUGCGGGUUCGACCCCCGCGUGGGGCU
rnacentral:tRNA from 1 species